rnacentral:rRNA from 1 species
UACGUAGGGUGCGAGCGUUGUCCGGAAUUAUUGGGCGUAAAGAGCUCGUAGGCGGUCUGUCGCGUCGGAUGUGAAAGCCCGGGGCUUAACUCCGGGUCUGCAUUCGAUACGGGCAGACUAGAGUGUGGUAGGGGAGAUCGGAAUUCCUGGUGUAGCGGUGAAAUGCGCAGAUAUCAGGAGGAACACCAGCGGCGAAGGCGGCGCUCUGGGCCGGUACUGACACUGAGGAGCGAAAGCGUGGGUAGCAAACAGG